UUGCCUACGGGGGGCAGCAGUGGGGAAUAUUGGACAAUGGGCGAAAGCCUGAUCCAGCAAUGCCGCGUGAGUGAUGAAGGCCUUAGGGUUGUAAAGCUCUUUUACCCGGGAAGAUAAUGACUGUACCGGGAGAAUAAGCUCCGGCUAACUCCGUGCCAGCAGCCGCGGUAAUACGGAGGGAGCUAGCGUUGUUCGGAAUUACUGGGCGUAAAGCGCACGUAGGCGGCUUUGUAAGUUAGAGGUGAAAGCCUGGAGCUUAACUCCAGAAUUGCCUUUAAGACUGCAUCGCUUGAAUCCGGGAGAGGUGAGUGGAAUUCCGAGUGUAGAGGUGAAAUUCGUAGAUAUUCGGAAGAACACCAGUGGCGAAGGCGGCUCACUGGACCGGUAUUGACGCUGAGGUGCGAAAGCGUGGGGAGCAAACAGGAUUAGAUACCCUUGUAGUCCG
rnacentral:rRNA from 1 species